GACGUAGGGGGCGAGCGUUAUCCGGAUUCACUGGGCGUAAAGGGCGCGUAGGCGGUUACGAAAGUCCGAUGUGAAAAGUCACGGCUCAACUGUGAUCGUGCAUCGGAUACUUCGUUGACUUGAGGUCGGUAGAGGCAAGUGGAACUAGCGGUGUAGCGGUGAAAUGCGCAGAUGUCGCUAGGAACGCCGGUGGCGAAGGCGAUUUGCUGGGCCGUACCUGACGCUGAUGCGCGAAAGCGUGGGGAGCAAACGGG
rnacentral:rRNA from 1 species